GUCAGGCAGCCGGCGGGCGGUGGAGGUGGGGGCCGCCGCAAACUGCUGCCGGAGCCCCCGGGCAGGGCAGCAGGAGGCACCCCGUGCUGCGGGCAGGCUGCCCAGCCAUGGGGCUCUAUAGGAGCCCUGCUCCACAAGUCUCCUCUGGAGCGGUUCCUAGUCCAUAAGAGCAUUGCUGCUGCCCGACAGCAGGGCCUCGCGGGGAACGUGUGUGUCUGGUGGUGGGGCUGGGGAACAGAGCUCCUUAGAAUGCUUCUGAGUAUCGCACAGAAAGGCCUGCGUUACGGUUGGAAAUGCGAUAUUCUUCCGGUUUGCUUCCACUCUUGUUUUGUGUCACUGAGGUACCUGGGUCUGUUCAGCCUGGGGAAAAGAAGCCUGAGGAGGGAACUGAUGAAUGUAUAUAAAUAUCUAAAGGGAGAUGGGAGGCAAAUGGAUGAGGGCAGGCUCUUCUCAGGGGUGCAUAGCGAGAGGACAAGGAGCAGCGGUCUCAAACUUGAACGUAGGUGUAGCAGAAAUGCUAUGUCAGAGCUUGGAACAGUGAUUGAGCACCGGGCGGGAAGGCAGGGCCAACCCAGGAGAGCUCAGGUGCAUGCAACGUACCUGAGUGACUGGAAGGGCUGGAGCCAAGAUGCAACCCUUCCCAGACCUCAUGUAAGGGUUGGCAGUGGAGGCAAGGAUACCUCAUCUGGAGAUCCCUGCACACCUGAGGCCUUCUGAAGGAUACCUGCCUUUGUCCACCCCACAGGACCUCUGGGUCCUGCUCUUCCCAAGGCUCUCCCUGCUGACACCAACAUCACACUCAUUAUGUGCGGAAGCGGACUGAUGCUCUUCAAAUGUUGGUUUAUUAUCCUUUGACCACUUCCAUACCUCAUGAAUCAAAUCUGCAAGCACUAGAGCUCCACACCACACAGAAUCAUAGAAUCAUAGAACAGUUUGGGUUAGAAGGGACCUUCAGGAUCACCUAGCUCCAACCCCCUGCUAUAGGCGUGGACACCUUCCUCUAGAACAGGUUGCUCAGUCCCAUCCAGCCUGGCCUUGAAUGCUUCCAGGGAGAGGGCAUCCACAACCUCACUGGGCAACCUGUUCCAGUGUCUCAACACCCUCACAGUAAAAAUUUCUUCCUGGUAUCUAGUCUAAAAGAUUAAAGAUGGUUUCAUUUUUGAUUCAUUUUCUAAAUCACAAAUCUUACAAAUUCUGGAGAAAUUCUGUAAACAAAUGGAUUCAUCUCUGAAGUCAUCAGGACAAUGCUAUGCUUAUAUAAUCUGCUACUUGUGGCAAUGGGGUAUAUGGCAUUUUUUAUGGCAAGCAGAGGACAUAUUAUUCAAAUAAAUGUGGGGAAAAUAAAAUGAGCUCAAUAAAAUUGGGAUGCCCCUAGCAAUCAGAGUUUCACUUUAAAAUAGCAAUAAUAAUUGAUGCUCCAUUCUGAUCCCCUGCAAGUGCCGUUAGAAGAUGCAUUUGCAGACUCGGGCUCUCUGCUGCAUUGAGAUGCUUCCUGACCACAGCAGGAUUGGCUCCAGCCCCUGCAGUUGUCCUUCACUUCUAGGGUCCUGGCAAGCCCUGUUCCCAAACAAGUGCCAAAACUGCCCCUGGUCCCCUUUUUGCAACAGGAUUAAGCAUGCAAGAGAUGCAUGCAGGAGGCAGUCGCAUUGUGCUCAGAGUCAGAGGCAAACAGCAAAUGUCAGAAUUCCCUUGUUUUGAGCAAGCAGUGCAUCUGCAGUGGAUGAGAAGUUACCCAGUACUACAUGGGUGGGCUGGAGCAUCUCCCCAGGGCCGUCGCCUCCCCUCUUUGCCUUCCGACCCUGGUGUUCUUAUCCGGAGCAACAGCACGCGCAUUUAUCACACGACUUUAUGAACAGUGAAGGUUUAUUACAUUGCACUUAAA
ensembl:lncRNA